UGGCCAGGCUGGUCUAGAACACCUGACCUCAAGUGAUCCACCUGCCUCAGCCUCUCAAAGUUCUGGGAUUACAGGUGUGAGCCAUUGUGCUGGGCCUUAAUUUAUUUUGAACACAUUUUCAGAAUUCCUAAAAAAAUUCAGCGGGACUCAAAAUUGCCUACAUUUUAAAUAUAAGAAUUUAUAAACUGCUAGUUUCUAAGUAUCAUGUCUGCAAGUCAGGAUUCCCGAUCCAGAGACAAUGGCCUUGAUGGGAUGGGGCCUGAAGGCGUCAUCGAGAGUAACUGGAAUGAGAUUGUUGACAACUUUGAUGACAUGAACCUCUCAGAGUCCCUUCUCUGGUUUUGAGAAGCCUUCUGCCAUCCAGCAGCGAGCCAUUCUACCUUGUAUCAAGGGUUAUGAUGUGAUCGCUCAAGCCCAAUUUGGGACUGGGAAAAUGGCCACAUUUGCCAUAUCGAUUUUGCAGCAGAUUGAAUUAGAUCUAAAGGCCACCCAGGCCUUGGUUCUAGCACUCACUUGAGAAUUGACCCAGCAGGUACAGAAGGUGGUCAUGGCACUAGGAGACUACAUGGGUGCCUCCUAUCACGCCUGUACUGGGGGGCACCAACAUGCGUGCUGAGGUGCAAAACUGCAGAUGGAAGCUCCCCAUAUCAUUGUAGGAACCCCUGGCCAUGUGUUCGAUAUGUUUAAUCGGAGAUACUUGUCUCCCAAAUACAUCAAGAUGUUUGUAUUGGACGAAGCUGAUGAAAUGUUAAGCCGUGGAUUCAAGGACCAGAUAUAUGACAUAUUCCAAAAGCUCAACAGCAGCACCCAGGUAGUUUUGUUGUCAGCUACGAUGCCUUCUCAUGUGCUUGAGGUGACUAAGAAGUUCAUGAGGGACCCCAUUCGGAUUCUUGUCAAGAAGGAAGAGUAUCUGCCCUGGAGGGUAUCUGCCAAUUCAACAUCAACAUGGAAUGAGAGGAGUGGAAGCUGGACACACUGUAUGACUUGUAUGAAACCCUGAUCAUCACUCAGGCAGUCAUCUUCAUUAACACCCGAAGGAAGGUGGACUGGCUCACUGAGAAGAUAAAUGCUCGAUAUUUCACUGUCUCUGCCAUGCAUGGAGAUGUGAUCAUGAGGGAGUUUUGUUCUGGCUCUAGUAGAGUUUUGAUUACCACUGACCUGCUGGCCAGAGGCAUUGAUAUGCAGCAGGUUUCUGUAGUCAUCAACUAUGACCUUGCCACCAACAGGGAAAACUAUAUCCACAGAAUAGGUCGAGGUGGAUGGUUUGGCUGUAAGGGUAUGGCUAUUAACAUGGUGACAGAAGAAGACACAUGGACUCUUUGAGACAUAGAGACCUUCUACAACACCUCCACUGAGGAAAUACCCCUCCAUGUUGCUGACCUCAUCUGAGGAGCUGUCCUUUCACCUAGCCUUAGCCCCAGCCAGAGUUCAGUCUUGGGGGGCUGAGGGAGCAGCUGGAGAGGGGAGGGAAGGGAGCCAAGGGAUGGACAUCUUGUCAUUUUUUUUUCUUUGAAUAAAUAUCACUUUUUGAGGCAAAAGAAGGAACCGUGAACAUUUUAGACACCCUUUUCUUUGGGGUAGGCUCUUGUCCCAGGCACCAGCUCUUCUCCAAAAAACGCUAAUCCAUUUACCUAACCUAGUAACCUCCAGAUCCCAGAGGCUCUCCUCACCUCAGCCGAGCUCCUUUGAAAGUGAUUCAAGGGACUAUGUCACUCAGCCUCAUUUGCUGGACCAAAUCUAGAGGGAGAACCACUAAAAGCCCUGAGUAAGGUUGCCCAGGGGAUUGUCCCCAGGUGGGGGGAAGCAGGGGAGAGAAAAUGGUAGCCAUUUUUACAUUGUUUUGUAUAGUAUUUAUUGAUUCAGGAAACAAACACAAAAUUCUGAAUGAAAUGACUUGGAAACUGCCAA